UGGAGAGUAAGAUAUAACUAUUCCAUGAUUCUACUCACUCUAUACCUUUCGGUAGUUCGAGUGAUUUUGCCCGAAUUGUCUUUCUCAAGACCAAUUGGGUAUGAUAAUUUGUGCAACCAAUUGAGCUUUAAGUCGGAUAUUAUUAUCUCAAGUUUUAACCUUAUAAUUGGAGCUAUCAAUCUCUUGAAUAUUUCCCAAUUCCUUGUUGGACAAAUUUCAUAGACUUAGGCUCUUUUCUCAAGAAGAACUGAAGCCAACUAGGCAUAAACUAGUAUUUGCAACUACUAAUUCAUCAUUUAAAUCCUAAAGUAGUCAAAAUAUCAAACACCCAUAGAAUCAAGCUUCAAAACACAAGACCCGUCAAUUAUCCACAUUAGGAUUCAGCCACAAUCCUAGUUAAUGGGUCUAGAUACUCAUGAUUAUAGAAGAAAAUAAAGAAAUAGAUAAAGAAAAGCACAUAAUAAUUAAUUAAUAGAUAAACUUGAAGAUUCAAUAAUGAAAUUAAACUAAAA
rnacentral:lncRNA from 1 species